GACGAACGCUGGCGGCGUGCUUAACACAUGCAAGUCGAACGAAGUGGCGAACGGGUGAGUAACGCGUAAUCAACCUGCCCUUCAGAGGGGGACAACAGUUGGAAACGACUGCUAAUACCGCAUACUGAAGGAGGGGAUUGCGUCUGAUUAGCUAGUUGGAGGGGUAACGGCCACCCAAGGCGAUGAUCAGUAGACGGUCGUAGAGGAUGACCGGCAACAUUGGGACUGAGAUACGGCCCAGACUCCUACGGGAGGCAGCAGUGGGGGAUAGUGCACAAUGGGCGAAAGCCUGAUGCAGCGACGCCGCGUGGGGGAUGAAGGCUUUUGGUUUGUAAACCUCUUUCGCUAUCGAACGGGUAGGUGGAGAAGAAGCGCCGGCUAACUACGUGCCAGCAGCCGCGGUAAUAC
rnacentral:rRNA from 1 species